AGUGAACGCUGGCGGUAGGCCUAACACAUGCAAGUCGAACGGCAGCACAGGAGAGCUUGCUCUCUGGGUGGCGAGUGGCGGACGGGUGAGGAAUACAUCGGAAUCUACUCUGUCGUGGGGGAUAACGUAGGGAAACUUACGCUAAUACCGCAUACGACCUACGGGUGAAAGCAGGGGAUCUUCGGACCUUGCGCGAUUGAAUGAGCCGAUGUCGGAUUAGCUAGUUGGCGGGGUAAAGGCCCACCAAGGCGACGAUCCGUAGCUGGGCUGAGAGGAUGAUCAGCCACACUGGAACUGAGACACGGUCCAGACUCCUACGGGAGGCAGCAGUGGGGAAUAUUGGACAAUGGGCGCAAGCCUGAUCCAGCCAUACCGCGUGGGUGAAGAAGGCCUUCGGGUUGUAAAGCCCUUUUGUUGGGAAAGAAAUCCAGCUGGCUAAUACCCGGUUGGGAUGGCGGUACCCAAAGAAUAAGCACCGGCUAACUUCGUGCCAGCAGCCGCCGUAA
rnacentral:rRNA from 1 species